rnacentral:piRNA from 1 species
CCCACCACACAAUGCCUGUUCAGCUGCUGC